rnacentral:rRNA from 1 species
AUGAUAUAUUUUCUCACAUAUUUUCUCUGCUGCAUUACCAAUUCUAGGUUCCAGAACGACCUCGAGGUGCAGCAGUUGAAAGCAAUCUCCCUGGAGAUCCCAUCAACAGCAAGCAAGAGCCACAGCAAGCUGCCUCACGAUCCAAGGAAAUGCAAGCUGGGCUCCCGGGUCUGCCCGGAGAGGCCGUGCAGAAGCAUCAGGGACAGGGUGCUGUCACGCGCCUUCUCGGAGGAGCUGGAGUCGCUGAUGCACUCUGGCAGCCACAUCUUCUUCGACCCCCGCGGCCGGGUGAUCCACCUGUGGAACAAGAUCUUCCUCACGGCGUGCCUGCUCUCGCUCUUCGUCGACCCGCUGUUCCUCUACCUGACCGGAACCCAGCAGAACAUGUGCAUCGAGUUCAAGCACUCGCUGGCGCUCAUGCUCUCCGUCAUACGGUCGCUGCUGGACGUGUUCUACGCGGCCCACAUCUGCCUCCGCUUCCGGACGGCGUUCAUCGCCCCGUCUUCCCGUGUGUUUGGGAGAGGAGAGCUCGUGAUCCAGCCAUACAAGAUCGCCAUGAGGUAUCUAUCACGGGCCUUCUGGUUUGAUCUCAUCACCGCGCUGCCUCUACCACAGUUCGUGAUCUGGGUCGUCGUGCCUAUGCUGAAGGAAUCCGCCACGGCAAACCGGAAGGAUAUCCUCCGGUUCAGCAUCAUCUUCCAGUACCUCCCGCGGCUCUUCCAGAUCUUCCCGCUCACGAGGCAGAUCGUCAUGGCGACUGGAGCCAUGACGGAGAACGCAUGGGCCAGCGCGGCGUAUAACCUCAUACUCUACAUGCUGGCAAGCCACGUGCUGGGAGCAUUGUGGUACCUCUUCUCGGUGCAGAGGCAGGAGGCGUGCUGGAGAGAGGCGUGCAAUCUGGAGGGCCCCAUGUGUCGGACCGAGUUCUUCGACUGCAACACCGUCAGUAGCAACAGGACCAUCUGGUACGAGCUGAGCAACAUAACGAGAUUGUGCACUCCGGACAAUAGUUUCUACCAGUUUGGGAUUUACGCGGAGGCCUUCAACUAUAAGCUCACCACGUCGGCCUUCACCCAGAAGUACUUCUACUGCUUCUGGUGGGGACUCAAGAACCUCAGUUGCCUGGGACAGAAUCUGGCGACGAGCUUGUACAUUGGAGAGAUAAGCUUUGCAAUCGUCAUUGGCAUCCUUGGGCUUGUAUUGUUUGCUCUGCUCAUUGGCAACAUGCAAGUAAGAUCUCCUUGCUUCCACUCCAUCAAUCUUGCAGCAAACAAUAAACGAGAAGUUGUAGAAGAACUGACAUUUCUAGUAUUUUUGUCUUUGCAGUCGUAUCUUCAAGCGACGAUGAUCCGACUGGAGGAGUGGCGGACGAAGCGGACGGACAUGGAGCGGUGGAUGCACCACCGGCAGAUACCCCAGCCGCUGAAGCAGUGCGUGAGGAGGUACCAGCAGUACAAAUGGGUGGCCACCCGCGGCGUGGACGAGGAGGCCUUGCUCAAGGACCUCCCCAUGGACAUCCGCCGCGACAUCAAGCGCCACCUCUGCCUCGACCUCGUCCGGCGAGUGCCACUGUUCGACGAGAUGGACGAGCGGACGCUGGAGGCCAUCUGCGAGCGGCUGCGGCCGGCGCUCUACACCCGUGGCACGCGGCUGGUGCGCGAGCUGGACCCCGUGGACUCGAUGCUCUUCAUCAUCCGAGGGUACCUCGACUCGUACACGACGCAGGGGGGGCGGUCCGGGUUCUUCAACUCGUGCCGCAUCGGGGCAGGGGAGUUCUGCGGGGAGGAGCUCCUGACGUGGGCGCUGGACCCGCGGCCUUCCGAGUACCUGCCGCGGUCCACGCGCACCGUGCGGGCCGUCUCCGUGGUCGAGGCGUUCGCGCUCGUCGCGGAGGACCUCCGGUUCGUGGCGUCGCAGUUCCGGCGCCUGCACAGCGCGCGGAUCCGGCACAGGUUCCGGUUCUACUCGCACCAGUGGCGGACGUGGGCGGCGUGCUUCAUCCAGGCCGCGUGGCGCCGGCACAAGCGACGCCGCGCGUCCAUGGAGCACAUGAUGCCACAGGCAGGCGACGGGCGGGCGGGAGGGAGCGUGAGGUGCCGACGGCACAGCUGCGACGGCAGGGCGCUCAAGAAGCCCAUGGAGCCGGAUUUUACGGUGGAACAAGAGAUCUAA